rnacentral:rRNA from 1 species
GCAUAUCAAUAAGCGGAGGAAAAGAAAAUAACAAUGAUUCCCUUAGUAACGGCGAGUGAAGGGGGAUAAGCUCAAAUUUUAAAUCUACCAGGUUAACCUGGUCGAGUUGUAAUUUGAAGAAGCGUUUUCCGCGUCCGGGUCGGCCCAAAUCCUUUGGGAUAAGGUAUCAUGAAGGGUGAGAAUCCCGUUCGGCUGACCUUAGGAUGUUUUACGAUACGCUCUCAAAGAGUCGAGUUGUUUGGGAUUGCAGCUCAAAAUGGGAGGUAAAUUUCUCCUAAGGCUAAAUACCGGCGAGAGACCGAUAGCGAACAAGUACCGUGAGGGAAAGAUGAAAAGAACUUUGAAAAGAGAGUUAAAUAGUACGUGAAAUUGUUGAAAGGGAAACGAUUGAAGUCAGUCGUACCGGCGGGAAAUCAGCUUCUCGAGUGGGGGUUCGCGGGUGCGUGGAGCUUCGGCCUUCGUCGCUUGUGACACCUUUUGCUUCUGGAGCGUACUUUUCCGUGUGGUAGGUCAACAUCGGUUUCGAUUGCCAUAAAAUGACCGGAGGAAUGUGGCUUCGAUCUUGUAUUGGAGUGUUAUAGCCUCUGGUAGAUGUGGUGGUUGGGAUCGAGGAUUGCAACGAAUACCCUUUGGGCUAUCCGCCUGACCUCUGAAAGUCGCUUGGGUACCGAAAGCUUGCUUACGGUCAUUCAAGUUGGCGGUCAAAAGGUUAGAACGUGAUUAAAUUCGUUAAGGAUGUUGACGUA